rnacentral:rRNA from 1 species
AUUGAACGCUGGCGGCAGGCCUAACACAUGCAAGUCGAACGGUAACAGGAAGAAGCUUGCUUCUUUGCUGACGAGUGGCGGACGGGUGAGUAAUGUCUGGGAAACUGCCUGAUGGAGGGGGAUAACUACUGGAAACGGUAGCUAAUACCGCAUAACGUCGCAAGCCCAAAAAGGGGGACCUUCGGGCCUCUUGCCAUCGGAUGUGCCCAGAUGGGAUUAGCUAGUAGGUGGGGUAACGGCUCACCUAGGCGACGAUCCCUAGCUGGUCUGAGAGGAUGACCAGCCACACUGGAACGGGGACACGGUCCAGACUCCUACGGGAGGCAGCAGUGGGGAAUAUUGCACAAUGGGGGCAAGCCUGAUGCAGCCAUGCCGCGUGUAUGAAGAAGGCCUUCGGGUUGUAAAGUACGUUCAGCGGGGAGGAAGGGAGUAAAGUUAAUACCUUGGCUCAUUGACGUUACCCGCAGAAGAAGCACCGGCUAACUCCGUG